rnacentral:rRNA from 1 species
GAUGAACGCUGGCGGCGUGCCUAAUACAUGCAAGUCGAGCGAACGGACGAGAAGCUUGCUUCUCUGAUGUUAGCGGCGGACGGGUGAGUAACACGUGGAUAACCUACCUAUAAGACUGGGAUAACUUCGGGAAACCGGAGCUAAUACCGGAUAAUAUUUUGAACCGCAUGGUUCAAAAGUGAAAGACGGUCUUGCUGUCACUUAUAGAUGGAUCCGCGCUGCAUUAGCUAGUUGGUAAGGUAACGGCUUACCAAGGCAACGAUGCAUAGCCGACCUGAGAGGGUGAUCGGCCACACUGGAACUGAGACACGGUCCAGACUCCUACGGGAGGCAGCAGUAGGGAAUCUUCCGCAAGGGGCGAAAGCCUGACGGAGCAACGCCGCGUGAGUGAUGAAGGUCGUCGGAUCGUAAAACUCUGUUAUUAGGGAAGAACAUAUGUGUAAGUAACUGUGCACAUCUUGACGGUACCUAAUCAGAAAGCCACGGCUAACUACG